rnacentral:rRNA from 1 species
AACCAUCGAGUAAUUUUUAAUUACUCAUUAAGGUGGUGUCACAAAAUCGGAGGCCCCGACUGUUUACUUAAAACACAGCUUUCUGCAACGAUUAAUAUCUUUGUAUAGGAAGCGAAUUUUGCCCAAUGCCAUUAAUAUAAAGUUGAUAAGCUUUUUAGUUUUUUAUUGACUGAAGUUCUGGUCAAUGGCGGUCUUAACCUUGAGGAUCCUAAGGUAGCAAAAUUAAUUGUCCAUUAAAUGUGGUCCCGACUGAAUAAAGUAACGAUGGUCUCACUGUCUCUACAAGUAUCUCAGUGAAAUUGAAUUAGCCGUGCAGAUGCGGUUUGACUUCGGGUAGACGGGAAGACCCUAUGCG